CUAAGAAAGAAUCAAAGCGGGACCCACACUUUGAUUAUGAACCACAUGACCAAAGCCAUAUCUCUUCAAUUUCAUUUUUCAUUUGCUGAACUGAAAGAGCACUCAGGAAACAAAGACUCCCUCACCCUCUCUCACGCCUCCCACCCUCAUCUCUACCUUUCCAUUUAUUCAACAAUCAAACAUGGAAGAUUCUUGCAUGCAAUCCACUCAUUAGUUUCUUGGGUCAAUUAGAGCAAGGAACAAAGUAUUGAUUAAAACCUCAAAGAUUCGGAGGUUUGAGUAAAAGGGGUCAAAUUGGAAGUUGAGAACUUAGUGGCAAAAAUAAGAAGUUCAUGGAGAUAGAGAAGUUGGGGAAAAGCUUGAAGCUUGGAGUUUCAACACUUAAUUCAUGAUUCUACGGCCGCUGGAAGUGGAGGAUGGCAGCAAAAGCUGCAUUUUGCUUACUGCAACAGCUCACCUAGCGAGCAGGAAGGUCUCUCAAUGACCGUAGCAGGGCAACAGUUCUUCUGCAUCUUUGUCAAACCAUUCUUGAAUAUUGGUAAGAAAACUUAGAGCUCUUUUCCUUUCAUUCAGAUUUCAGAAUCAGCAUAUUCUUCGAUGUUAGAAAAUGUCAUUAAUUCCAUUCUUGGUAUUUACAUGUGGUUUUUGUGGUGAAUGAGGCUUGGUUAAAUAAUUGGAGCUGAGCAUGGAAUUAAAAGUGGAAUUCAGAACCAUUAUAAAGGAAAAUAGAAUUUAUUAAGAAGCAUUGGAUGCUUGAAUGAUGACUGAGGAUGUACGAAUCAGUAAGGACAAUUGUUGAAACAAGGAAACAAAGAAGACUGGAAAUAUUUAUGGAAAUUCGUAUGCUGGAUGUACCCUCACUAAAAUGGUACCAGCCUAGUGAGAUGUAAUGGAGAAAUGAGGUCUCGACGAAUCUUUAAAGUGAAAGGUCCAACACAGAAUUUAUGCAGAAAGUGUUUGGGAUUGGGCUGCACUCAAACGAAUUGUGGCCAGUAGGUAUUUUUGAAGUUGGAACUCUGAUGCUGGUAUUAUGCAGAAAAAUCUGCACACAAGUUUGGAGUAGUUUCGUUGCAAAUUCUGCUUUUCGACGAGUUUCGGAAAUGUCGGUGGUAUGGUUCAAGCGUCGAUUUCAGAUAAACAGGUUGAUCAAGAUAUCAUGGUCUACAAGCAUGGAGUUCAGAUACUUGGAUUAUGCUAGUUGAGCUGACGUCAUGUUAUCUUAUAUUUGUAUAAGAUUUAGUUUCUUUAUGUUUUCAGUUGUUAGCUCAAUUUAGUAUUAAUCUCUUGGAUUUUGUAAUCCUAUUUAUGUAUUCGGACAAUAUGUAAUGAAAAUUUAAUGUUUCCCGAUUCAGUUA